GCUCAUGAGGUGGAGCUGCGUUUCCUUUCUGUCUCUACUCGUCGUGCGUUUUAUGCAAAAUCCCUGCGAGCUGAGAGCCCCAACAACAGCCGGCUGACACACGAAACUCCGCCUCUUCCAACGCUCCUCACCAGCCCCCCGAGCGCGGCGCGAAGGGAACCGCGCCACCAGCCGCAGCCCCGCCCCGCCCGCGAGCUGAGGGCAGGACGCGAGGCGGGGCAACAACCGCCGGCCCCUCCGAGCGCGGGCGCGCGCUGGGCGGGGAAAGCGCAUUCCUGCGCCCGGCCCUCACAGUCCCCGCCCUCGGCUCGCGGGGCGAUGGGCGGGGCUAGCCUCGUUCCCACCCCGCUAAGUCCAUAUAAAGGCCGCGAGCGCCCCCCGCCCCCUCUUUUCCUGUGGAGCGGUGGCGGCGGCGGUAUGAAGCAGAAUCUUUCAGUGGUUUCCAAUACGUUGUGCAGAAGCAUUAAGCCCAAGAUGGAAGCACCAUUGGAACUAGAAGAGUAUUUGGUACGCACAAGUGGAUUUUCCUGA
ensembl:lncRNA